rnacentral:lncRNA from 1 species
CCUUCCUCCCUUUUUUCUUUUUGUGCAAAAUUGUAUAUUACAUGAAGAAAGCAAUUAUGAAUCACAAAAGAAGGAAUUUUAUUUGUACACUUAUCAGAUUUCAUUAAAUGAGAUAUUGGUAUGUACUUCAUAUUUGCAUGUUCUGCACUGUGAUCACAAAUUCACAAUCAGGUAUCGAUCAAUCUGCUUUUUCUCCUCUUCCUGUUUAGUAAAUAAGACCAAGGAAACUAAAUCUGCAUUUCCUCCAUUUCUCCCCAAUGCAGUUCUAGCAAAUUGUGGUACAAUCUUGAAUUUUAGUCAUGUCAUUGCUACGAGAAGUAAUGCACCGCUUGAAUCAAAACUUGAAAUUCUUCUUCAGGAAGCUGGGAGGGGAAAUAUACUUACAAUCAAGCAAAGAAUUAUGCAGCCUGCAGUUCCAGGAAAAAGGGCAUACCAGAGUUGCAAGUGGUGA